rnacentral:lncRNA from 1 species
AAACAAACAUAUUUGCUUUUCUACAUUGAAUUUAAGACUCUGAUAGCUGCCAAAAUUGUCAGCAUAACAUAUUAUGGCUUCUGAAGAGAAAAGAAAAGAAUAUCCCAAUGCUGAAAACUUAACACUAUUGUGACACCAGACACCAGAGUGCAAGAUAUCACUGAAGAUGAGGAGCCAUGUCCCUGAGCAGCCACACACACUUUCCAACUAUGGCCUGCACCCAACUUCCUCUUAUUUGCUUCAGUUAUUAUGUGCACCUUUUGCAUUUUGCCACUUAAAAUGUUGUUCCAAAUUGGGGAUUUUGAGGAUGAGUUACACAGUCUCUCUUUUCUGGGAACUUUGCUCCCUCCAAUGUGAUUCAUAUGACUGUGGAGGAAGGCUCCCAGCAGUCAUGUUUGUUCCCUGGGAUAGUACAUGCUGGGCACAACUGUUAGCUCAGGGUGGGCACCUGACCCAAUUAGGAUAGUCAGAGUCCCUUCUCUUAAACUCUGUGAAUAGCACGAAGAGAUGGUCUCCUCAGCUGAAGGAACUUUCUUAGGCAGAAGACAAGGAAAACUUGUCAGCUAUGUGGGCACCUUAUUUUCUGCAUAUUGGCCAGGAAGCUCAUAAAACUGGGCCUGAGGAAUAGAGGGAGAAGACUGAAGUGACCAUGCAGAGAAGAGAGAGAGAAAGAGAAAGAGAGGAAGACACUGGGCUCUUGUGUGCUUCUGGCACAGAAGAAGUGCUCAAUAAAUAUCUGUUAAAUGAACGCAUGAACAAAUGUGAGAAUGACUCCAAACAGCUGUUCAUACCCUGACUCCAAGAUCUUCCUAAGGAAGGACUCCCAAAGCAAUGAAGCAUCAAUUCUGUGCUCGAUGUCACCAAUCAAUUGCACAAAUCGCUCCCAGUGAUUCUCACUAAAUGGACAUUGGAAUGGAUCUACAGCACUGAAUGAAGAGUUAGUAGCAAAAGACCUCAACCAAAUAAAACUACCUUUACCAGAAAAAAAAAAAUCAUUCAUAGAGAGAAAACAAGAAAGAAAAAGCAAAAAAGAGACUUCCGAGUCCUGCCAUUCCCUCAAAUUAUAAAGAAACAUCAUAAAAGAAAUCAACAGUGUCCUUUGUUGCAAACACUCCAGAGCAAUCAUGACAUCUGAGCAGUAGUCUUGUGAAAAGACUUCAUCCUAGAACAUCUACUUUGGUAACAGCUCCACUACACUAUCAAUGAAAACCACUUUCAAUUUUCCAUUGUUCUCACGUUUGCAGUCACUAGGAACAAUGAGAUAGCUCAGCACUAUUUUAAAGGCACUACAACAUUUUCUAAUAAAAAAUGAUGCUAACUUAUGGGUUUAACAUUUUCCCAUCUUUCAGAAAAUUACACACGUACUUGCCUCCAAAUUUGGCAUUGGAUGUGGAUACACGAUCUAAUGCCAUUAUAUUCAUGUUCACUUAAACUUCUUAAUAGGUGGGCAUAGAGUAAGCGGUUUCAAAAGAACAGUGCUGUGCUCUCUGGAUAACAUGCAUGGUGGCUGUGCUUAAUGUUAAUAGCAGCAGUCAGGAAUCUGAGUUAUAUUGCUCCCGUAUUGAACUAAUAUGUGAUCUUUGACAAGUCACUUAAUCUUUCAUCUUUCUUAACUAUAACGAUAGUUUAUCUAAAUUAUAAUAGCAGAUAAUAAUACCUGGCUUGGAGUAAUGUGGUAAGACUUGAUUAAUUGUCAUAUGUGAAACACUUUAGGGUCUUUGAAUAAGAUGUAUUACUAAAGUGCAAGGCAUUAAUAUUAUUCACCCAUUAACAAUGUUUUCCUGUGUAAUGGUCCAAUAUACUAUCAGUUUAAGAUACAUACGGGGAUACUCUUAAGGUGUAGUAAGAGAAUAAGCAUUUUACCAUUCUUUGCAUACACUGAUGUUGUACAAACCAGCCUACUUUAUAGAAUAUUCAAUAUAGUUACUAAAUUCCACACUGACUGUUUUAUUAUGCUAAUUGAUAAUCUGGUUGCUCCAAAGAUUAAAGAAAAAUGAAAUUAAACUGAAAAAUCAAAGGGUAACAACUUUAUAAUGCCUCUUUAAUUUAGCGAAAUACAAUUAAAGUCACACAGUGGUAGAAUUGACUGUGAAUACUAAGAUGACUAUAAUUGACAAAGUAAAUGUUACAGAGCCAAGCUGAAUAAAAGCAAAGGAAAAUGCCAAUAAAAUUCAGUGUCAUGGGAUAUCUAUGUAGGCUCACUAAAAUAAACUAUAAGACAUACAUAGAUGUCACAGAAAAGGAUGUUCUGAAGAAUGCUUAUGUCACUAGAAAAGCUUUUAGAAUCAGAUAAAAAUGAACACAUUUUAAAGUAACACAAACAUUCAUUGUUGUCCUUACUAGAGGAAAAACAUGAUGCUGCAAAAGAAUUAGACUUUACUAACUAAGCUUAUUUAUUAUUAUUACUUGAUAUUUGUAAACGCAUUGGACUCAAUAUUGCCUGCUUUAAAUAAAAACAUAGACAAAACAUGCAUGAGCACACGUGUAUAUUUGCACACACACACACACACACACACACGAGGUCUAUGAGUGCAGUAUACAAUUUAAAUGUCCAAUUGAAUAAUAACUUCGAUGAGUUUCCCUGAUGAAGCUAGUAGGAUUUGGCUUAUUCUGUUAUAUAAGUUUACAAUUAAAGUUCUUUACAUCAUUACAGCCUUAAUGGAAAAAAUGUGUACACUUAGAUACUGUUGGCGGGGGUGGGUGGUAUACUGAUACAAAGUCAUAGGUCAGCAAUUGCAUAAUAUCUUUAAAAUUCUUAUAAAAUUCUUCUUCUGGGAAUUUAGCAUCCAUAAUGCUGUAUUCUUGCAUUCUGAUUUUUUCACCAAAAAUCUUGGAAGGACAGAGUAACCUUUACCAAAGGAAAACUAUCUCUGGAGUAAGAGUAACUUUUAAAUUCAUACAAAAAUGUAUAUAUGUUUUGUUUUAGAAAUAAACUUUUCCCCAAAUAUUUAACGAAAAGAUGCUACGUCAUUCUUACUCCUGCAUCUGUCUGUAACUCUCAGCAUGCCACAAAGAUACAAAGAUAGAAAUUGUGAAAAAUAGUAUGAAGUGAAUGAACAGGGGACAGUGAUGGAGUACAGAUAAAUGGAAAAUCCUUACUUUGGUACAAUGGCAUCUUUAAGAAACAGGGUGUGCAAGGGUUCAGAGGGGCA